AUUGAACGCUGGCGGCAGGCUUAACACAUGCAAGUCGAGCGAGCGGCGGACGGGUGAGUAAUGUCUGGGAAACUGCCUGAUGGAGGGGGAUAACUACUGGAAACGGUAGCUAAUACCGCAUACCAUCAGAUGUGCCCAGAUGGGAUUAGCUAGUAGGUGGGGUAAUGGCUCACCUAGGCGACGAUCCCUAGCUGGUCUGAGAGGAUGACCAGCCACACUGGAACUGAGACACGGUCCAGACUCCUACGGGAGGCAGCAGUGGGGAAUAUUGCACAAUGGGCGCAAGCCUGAUGCAGCCAUGCCGCGUGUAUGAAGAAGGCCUUCGGGUUGUAAAGUACUUUCAGCGGGGAGGCGUUACCCGCAGAAGAAGCACCGGCUAACUCCGUGCCAGCAGCCGCGGUAAUUC
rnacentral:rRNA from 1 species